rnacentral:rRNA from 1 species
AUACGGAGGAUGCGAGCGUUAUCCGGAUUUAUUGGGUUUAAAGGGAGCGUAGGUGGGAUAUUAAGUCAGCUGUGAAAGUUUGGGGCUCAACCUUAAAAUUGCAGUUGAUACUGGUUUCCUUGAGUACGGUACAGGUGGGCGGAAUUCGUGGUGUAGCGGUGAAAUGCUUAGAUAUCACGAAGAACUCCGAUCGCGAAGGCAGCUCACCGGGCCGGAACUGACACUGAUGCUCGAAAGUGUGGGUAUCAAACAGGAAUAGAUACCCUGGUAGUCCACACAGUAAACGAUGAAUACUCGCUGUUUGCGAUAUACAGUAAGCGGCCAAGCGAAAGCAUUAAGUAUUCCCCCUGGGGAGUACGCCAGCAACGGGGAAACUCAAAUGAAUUGACGGGG